rnacentral:rRNA from 1 species
CGUACACUCCUACGGGAGGCAGCAGUGGGGAAUAUUGGACAAUGGGCGCAAGCCUGAUCCAGCCAUGCCGCGUGAGUGAUGAAGGCCCUAGGGUUGUAAAGCUCUUUCACCGGUGAAGAUAAUGACGGUAACCGGAGAAGAAGCCCCGGCUAACUUCGUGCCAGCAGCCGCGGUAAUACGAAGGGGGCUAGCGUUGUUCGGAUUUACUGGGCGUAAAGCGCACGUAGGCGGACUAUUAAGUCAGGGGUGAAAUCCCGGGGCUCAACCCCGGAACUGCCUUUGAUACUGGUAGUCUUGAGUUCGAGAGAGGUGAGUGGAAUUCCGAGUGUAGAGGUGAAAUUCGUAGAUAUUCGGAGGAACACCAGUGGCGAAGGCGGCUCACUGGCUCGAUACUGACGCUGAGGUGCGAAAGCGUGGGGAGCAAAUAGGAUUAGAUACCCCAGUAGUCCCAU